rnacentral:rRNA from 1 species
UACCCGCAGCACAAGUGGUGGUCAUUAUUAUUGGGCCUAAAGCGUCCGUAGCUGGCUUGUUAGAUGCCUGGGUAAAUCGAUGCGCUCAACGCAUCGAACUCCGGGUAGACCGGCAAGCUUGGGACCGGGAGAGGCGUGAGCUACUCGAGGGGUAGGGGUAAAAUCCGUAGAUAUUCGCAAGAACACCAGUGGCGAAGGCGGCUCACUGGCCCGGUACUGACGCUGAGGUGCGAAAGCGUGGGGAGCAAACAGG